rnacentral:rRNA from 1 species
AUUGAACGCUGGCGGCAUGCCUUACACAUGCAAGUCGAACGGCAGCACGGACUUCGGUCUGGUGGCGAGUGGCGAACGGGUGAGUAAUAUAUCGGAACGUACCCAGGAGUGGGGGAUAACGUAGCGAAAGUUACGCUAAUACCGCAUACGUCCUAAGGGAGAAAGUGGGGGAUCGCAAGACCUCAUGCUCAUGGAGCGGCCGAUAUCUGAUUAGCUAGUCGGUGGGGUAAAGGCCUACCAAGGCAACGAUCAGUAGCUGGUCUGAGAGGACGACCAGCCACACUGGAACUGAGACACGGUCCAGACUCCUACGGGAGGCAGCAGUGGGGAAUUUUGGACAAUGGGGGCAACCCUGAUCCAGCAAUGCCGCGUGAGUGAAGAAGGCCCUCGGGUUGUAAAGCUCUUUUGUCAGGGAAGAAAAGGCUGCGGCUAAUAUCUGCGGCUCAUGACGGUACCUGAAGAAUAAGCACCGGCUAACUACGUGCCAGCAGCCGCCGUAA